AAAAUCCGUCGACUUUAAAAAUCGUGAGGGUUCAAGU
rnacentral:tRNA from 5 species